rnacentral:tRNA from 1 species
CUCGCGUUGGGCUAAUUGGCAAGUCGCCUGAUUUGGGGUCAGGAAGAUCACCGUUCGAGUCGGUGGCGCGAGACCA